rnacentral:rRNA from 1 species
AUGUACCUCGUGGAUGACGACACUCCCAGUUCCAUUUCAAAAGCUUAUGCAUCUCCGGAUGCUGACUACUGGAAGGAUGUGGUCCGUAGCGAGAUGGAUUCCAUCAUGGUUAAUGGGACAUGGGAGAUCACUGAUCGUCCUUAUGGUUGCCAACCAUUGGGAUGUAAGUGGGUGUUCAAGAGGAAGCUUAGGCCCGAUGGUACUGUUGAGAAGUACAAGGCUAGGCUUGUGGCCAAGGGUUAUACCCAAAAGGAAGAAGAGGAUUUCUGCGAUACCUACUCACAUGUGGCUAGGCUGACAACCAUUCGAGUGUUACUCGCUUUGGCUACCUCACAUGGUCUUCUCGUUCAUCAGAUGUACGUUAAGACGACUUUCCUUAACGGAGAGCUAGACGAGGAAAUUUACAUGUAA